rnacentral:rRNA from 1 species
GACGAACGCUGGCGGCGUGCCUAAUACAUGCGAGUCGAACGAGAGCGCCCGGUGCUUGCACUGGUCAAUCUAGUGGCGAACGGGUGAGUAACACGUGGGUAACCUGCCCAUCAGAGGGGGAUAACAUCCGGAAACGGAUGCUAAAACCGCAUAGGUCUUCGAACCGCAUGGUUUGAAGAGGAAAAGAGGCGCAAGCUUCUGCUGAUGGAUGGACCCGCGGUGCAUUAGCUAGUUGGUGAGGUAACGGCUCACCAAGGCCGUGAUGCAUAGCCGACCUGAGAGGGUGAUCGGCCACAUUGGGACUGAGACACGGCCCAAACUCCUACGGGAGGCAGCAGUAGGGAAUCUUCCGCAAUGGACGCAAGUCUGACGGAGCAACGCCGCGUGAGUGAAGAAGGUGUUCGGAUCGUAAAACUCUGUUGUUAGAGAAGAACAAGUGCUAGAGUAACUGUUAGCGCCUUGACGGUAUCUAACCAGAAAGCCACGGCUAACUACGUG